GUCAAAAUGUUACUGUUCGUCGCACAGAACUAAAUGUCGGUUGAAACACAAACUAUGCACACCGCGGAGACAUCUACCACAUUGUAAUCUUGAUCGCUUCCUUCUUCCGUUACUUCGAUAUGAACAUACAACACAAUCUUUCACUUUGCCGUUAGCUAAUCUUCGAAGUUCUUGCUUUCGAUUUUCUAACUGACCCGGAAAUCGAUCUCUCAUGUGUUCCAUUGACAAACUUUCAACUACCUCGUGAAUGAACUGGAGACGUGAUAGUGGACGAGGUUUG
rnacentral:lncRNA from 1 species